rnacentral:lncRNA from 1 species
UACUGGAAUAUUUCGCAAGAGAUUUUGUUAUCCCCCUGAGUGGAAUGAGCAGAACCAAUUGGACAUUUUAUACAGCAACAGAAAUAUUUGAAAAAUGACUUGAGCAUGUCCACUUCCAGAGAAAGAACUGGAAACCUCCAAACCAG